GAAGUCCCACAGUAAACAGAUCCCUAAACACAACAGCCUCGCCGACCUCGGGCGUCGGAACUGCUUCACUCCCGGGGGCUCUGCCCAUCCCCUUAGGGAAAAAGAGGCUCUCCUCAAAAGAUGUAAUGUCUUGCGAGGUCACCUGCGAGUGCCCAAAAUAAAGAGUAGGGACGCACGAAACCUUCCCCCCGACGGAUGCCUCGGGUCUCACUUCAACCUCGACAUCCUCCUCCCCAACCUCUUCCUCAUCCAAGGAUACGGCAUGAACCUUGGUUCCCCCAGUACCUUUCGAGGUUUGCCCCUGUCCACCUUCUCCUUCAUCACCGUCAGAGGACCAAUC
rnacentral:lncRNA from 1 species